rnacentral:rRNA from 1 species
UGAGUAAGUGGCGCACGGGUGAGUAACGCGUGGAUAAUCUACCCUUUAGCCGGGAAUAACCCACCGAAAGGUGGGGUAAUACCUGAUGAUACUGUUUUGCUUCGGCGGAGCAGUCAAAGAUAGCCUCUGUAUACAAGCCUUCACUAAAGGAUGAGUCCGCGUACCAUUAGCUUGUUGGUAGGGUAAUGGCCUACCAAGGCGACGAUGGUUAGCUGGUCUGAGAGGAUGAUCAGCCACACUGGAACUGAGAUACGGUCCAGACUCCUACGGGAGGCAGCAGUGAGGAAUCUUGCGCAAUGGGGGCAACCCUGACGCAGCAACGCCGCGUGAGUGAUGAAGGCCUUCGGGUCGUAAAGCUCUGUCAGGCGGGAAGAAUGUUUUCAGGGUGAAUAAUC